UACAGAGGGUGCGAGCGUUAAUCGGAAUUACUGGGCGUAAAGCGCGCGUAGGCGGCUUUGCAAGUCGGGUGUGAAAUCCCCCAGGCUUAACCUGGGAACUGCAUUCGAGACUGCAUUGCUAGAGUAUGGGAGAGGGAAGUGGAAUUUCCGGUGUAGCGGUGAAAUGCGUAGAUAUCGGGAGGAACACCAGUGGCGAAGGCGGCUACCUGGCCCACUCUUGACGCUGAGGCGCGAAAGCUAGGGGAGCAAACGGG
rnacentral:rRNA from 1 species